rnacentral:rRNA from 1 species
UACGUAGGGUGCAAGCGUUAAUCGGAAUUACUGGGCGUAAAGCGUGCGCAGGCGGUUUUGUAAGUCUGACGUGAAAUCCCCGGGCUCAACCUGGGAAUUGCGUUGGAGACUGCAAGGCUAGAAUCUGGCAGAGGGGGAUGGAAUUCCACGUGUAGCAGUGAAAUGCGUAGAGAUGUGGAGGAACACCGAUGGCGAAGGCAGCCCCCUGGGUCAAGAUUGACGCUCAUGCACGAAAGCGUGGGGAGCAAACAGG